CUAUCAUAUCCCCCCUAUCUCGUCUUUCCUCCAAGCAAUACAUGUUAAGAUCCUUUAACCUUUCCUGGUAAGUUUUAUCCCGCAAUCCAUGAACCCAGUUUAGUAGCCCUUCUCUGAAUCCUCUCUAAGGUAUCAAUAUCCUUCUGAAGAUACGGUCUCCAGUACUGUGUACAAUACUCCAAGUGAGGUCUCACCAGUGUUCUGUACAAUGGCAUGAGCACUUCCCUCUUUCUACUGCUAAUACCUCUCCCUAUACAACCAAGCAUUCUGCUAGCAUUUCCUGCUGCUCUAUUACAUUGUCUGCCUACC